rnacentral:rRNA from 1 species
GACGAACGCUGGCGGCGUGCUUAACACAUGCAAGUCGAGCGGUAAGGCCCUUUCGGGGGUACGACGAGCGGCGAACGGGUGAGUAACACGUGGGUGACCUGCCCUCAGCUCUGGGAUAAGCCUGGGAAACCGGGUCUAACACCGGAUAUGACUCCAUGACGCAUGUUGUGGGGUGGAAAGCCUUGUGCGGCUGAGGAUGGGCCCGCGGCCUAUCAGCUUGUUGGUGGGGUGAUGGCCUACCAAGGCGACGACGGGUAGCCGGCCUGAGAGGGCGACCGGCCACACUGGGACUGAGACACGGCCCAGACUCCUACGGGAGGCAGCAGUGGGGAAUCUUGCGCAAUGGGCGAAAGCCUGACGCAGCGACGCCGCGUGAGGGAUGACGGCCUGGUGUAA